CGGAAUNAUUGGGUUUAAAGGGUGCGUAGGCGGAAUGGUAAGUCAGCGGUGAAAUACUGCAGCUCAACUGUAGUUGUGCCGUUGAUACUGUCNUUCUUGAGGUAUAGAUGAGGUAGAGCGGAAUGAGUAGUGUAGCGGUGAAAUGCAUAGAUAUUACUCAGAACACCGAUUGCGAAGGCAGCUUACUAAACUAUAACUGACGCUGAAGCACGAAAGCGUGGGUAUCAAACAGGAUUAGAUACCCUGGUAGUCCACGCUGUAAACGAUGAUUACUGGUUGUUUGGNCGAAAGAGNUCAAGCGACUGCGCGAAAGCAUUAAGUAAUCCACCUGGGGAGUACGUCGGCAACGAUGAAACUCAAAGGAAUUGACGGGGGCCCGCACAAGCGGUGGAACAUGUGGUUUAAUUCGAUGAUACGCGAGGAACCUUACCUGGGCUUAAAUGGNNGAGUGACAGGGGUAGAAAUACCUUUUUCUUCGGACACUCUUCAAGGUGCUGCAUGGUUGUCGUCAGCUCGUGCCGUGAGGUGUCGGGUUAAGUCCCAUAACGAGCGCAACCCCUGUUGUCAGUUACCAGCACGUAGAGGUGGGGACUCUGGCAAGACUGCCGGUGUAAACCGNGAGGAAGGUGGGGGAUGACGUCAAAUCAGCACGGCCCUUACGUCCAGGGCUACANACGUGUUACAAUGGCCGGUACAGCGGGCAGCGGCGCGGCGACGCGUANCGAAUCCCGAAAGCCGGUCUCAGUUCGGAUUGGAGUCUGCNACCCGACUUCAUGAAGCUGGAAUCGCUAGUAAUCGCGCAUCAGCCAUGGCGGNGGUGAAUACGUUCCC
rnacentral:rRNA from 1 species